rnacentral:rRNA from 1 species
UUAAGUUAUUAAGGGCGCACGGUGGAUGCCUUGGCACUAGAAGCCGAUGAAGGACGUUACUAACGACGAUAUGCUUUGGGGAGCUGUAAGUAAGCUUUGAUCCAGAGAUUUCCGAAUGGGGAAACCCAGCAUGAGUUAUGUCAUGUUAUCGAUAUGUGAAUACAUAGCAUAUCAGAAGGCACACCCGGAGAACUGAAACAUCUUAGUACCCGGAGGAAGAGAAAGAAAAUUCGAUUCCCUUAGUAGCGGCGAGCGAAACGGGAAGAGCCCAAACCAACAAGCUUGCUUGUUGGGGUUGUAGGACACUCUAUACGGAGUUACAAAGGACGACAUUAGACGAAUCAUCUGGAAAGAUGAAUCAAAGAAGGUAAUAAUCCUGUAGUCGAAAAUGUUGUCUCUCUUGAGUGGAUCCUGAGUACGACGGAGCACGUGAAAUUCCGUCGGAAUCUGGGAGGACCAUCUCCUAAGGCUAAAUACUCUCUAGUGACCGAUAGUGAACCAGUACCGUGAGGGAAAGGUGAAAAGCACCCCGGAAGGGGAGUGAAAUAGAACCUGAAACCGUGUGCUUACAAGUAGUCAGAGCCCGUUAAUGGGUGAUGGCGUGCCUUUUGUAGAAUGAACCGGCGAGUUACGAUUUGAUGCAAGGUUAAGCAGUAAAUGUGGAGCCGUAGCGAAAGCGAGUCUGAAUAGGGCAUUUAGUAUUUGGUCGUAGACCCGAAACCAGGUGAUCUACCCUUGGUCAGGUUGAAGUUCAGGUAACACUGAAUGGAGGACCGAACCGACUUACGUUGAAAAGUGAGCGGAUGAACUGAGGGUAGCGGAGAAAUUCCAAUCGAACCUGGAGAUAGCUGGUUCUCUCCGAAAUAGCUUUAGGGCUAGCCUCAAGUGAUGAUUAUUGGAGGUAGAGCACUGUUUGGACGAGGGGCCCCUCUCGGGUUACCGAAUUCAGACAAACUCCGAAUGCCAAUUAAUUUAACUUGGGAGUCAGAACAUGGGUGAUAAGGUCCGUGUUCGAAAGGGAAACAGCCCAGACCACCAGCUAAGGUCCCAAAAUAUAUGUUAAGUGGAAAAGGAUGUGGCGUUGCCCAGACAACUAGGAUGUUGGCUUAGAAGCAGCCAUCAUUUAAAGAGUGCGUAAUAGCUCACUAGUCGAGUGACACUGCGCCGAAAAUGUACCGGGGCUAAACAUAUUACCGAAGCUGUGGAUUGUCCUUUGGACAAUGGUAGGAGAGCGUUCUAAGGGCGUUGAAGCAUGAUCGUAAGGACAUGUGGAGCGCUUAGAAGUGAGAAUGCCGGUGUGAGUAGCGAAAGACGGGUGAGAAUCCCGUCCACCGAUUGACUAAGGUUUCCAGAGGAAGGCUCGUCCGCUCUGGGUUAGUCGGGUCCUAAGCUGAGGCCGACAGGCGUAGGCGAUGGAUAACAGGUUGAUAUUCCUGUACCACCUAUAAUCGUUUUAAUCGAUGGGGGGACGCAGUAGGAUAGGCGAAGCGUGCGAUUGGAUUGCACGUCUAAGCAGUAAGGCUGAGUAUUAGGCAAAUCCGGUACUCGUUAAGGCUGAGCUGUGAUGGGGAGAAGACAUUGAGUCUUCGAGUCGUUGAUUUCACACUGCCGAGAAAAGCCUCUAGAUAGAAAAUAGGUGCCCGUACCGCAAACCGACACAGGUAGUCAAGAUGAGAAUUCUAAGGUGAGCGAGCGAACUCUCGUUAAGGAACUCGGCAAAAUGACCCCGUAACUUCGGGAGAAGGGGUGCUCUUUAGGGUUAACGCCCAGAAGAGCCGCAGUGAAUAGGCCCAAGCGACUGUUUAUCAAAAACACAGGUCUCUGCUAAACCGUAAGGUGAUGUAUAGGGGCUGACGCCUGCCCGGUGCUGGAAGGUUAAGAGGAGUGGUUAGCUUCUGCGAAGCUACGAAUCGAAGCCCCAGUAAACGGCGGCCGUAACUAUAACGGUCCUAAGGUAGCGAAAUUCCUUGUCGGGUAAGUUCCGACCCGCACGAAAGGCGUAACGAUUUGGGCACUGUCUCAACGAGAGACUCGGUGAAAUCAUAGUACCUGUGAAGAUGCAGGUUACCCGCGACAGGACGGAAAGACCCCGUGGAGCUUUACUGUAGCCUGAUAUUGAAAUUCGGCACAGCUUGUACAGGAUAGGUAGGAGCCUUUGAAACGUGAGCGCUAGCUUACGUGGAGGCGCUGGUGGGAUACUACCCUAGCUGUGUUGGCUUUCUAACCCGCACCACUUAUCGUGGUGGGAGACAGUGUCAGGCGGGCAGUUUGACUGGGGCGGUCGCCUCCUAAAAGGUAACGGAGGCGCUCAAAGGUUCCCUCAGAAUGGUUGGAAAUCAUUCAUAGAGUGUAAAGGCAUAAGGGAGCUUGACUGCGAGACCUACAAGUCGAGCAGGGUCGAAAGACGGACUUAGUGAUCCGGUGGUUCCGCAUGGAAGGGCCAUCGCUCAACGGAUAAAAGCUACCCCGGGGAUAACAGGCUUAUCUCCCCCAAGAGUUCACAUCGACGGGGAGGUUUGGCACCUCGAUGUCGGCUCAUCGCAUCCUGGGGCUGUAGUCGGUCCCAAGGGUUGGGCUGUUCGCCCAUUAAAGCGGUACGCGAGCUGGGUUCAGAACGUCGUGAGACAGUUCGGUCCCUAUCCGUCGUGGGCGUAGGAAAUUUGAGAGGAGCUGUCCUUAGUACGAGAGGACCGGGAUGGACAUACCUCUGGUGUACCAGUUGUCGUGCCAACGGCAUAGCUGGGUAGCUAUGUGUGGACGGGAUAAGUGCUGAAAGCAUCUAAGCAUGAAGCCCCCCUCAAGAUGAGAUUUCCCAACUUCGGUUAUAAGAUCCCUCAAAGAUGAUGAGGUUAAUAGGUUCGAGGUGGAAGCAUGGUGACAUGUGGAGCUGACGAAUACUAAUCGAUCGAAGACUUAAUCAA